rnacentral:rRNA from 1 species
GAACGCUGGCGGCGUGCUUAACACAUGCAAGUCGAGCGGAAAGGCCCUUCGGGGUACUCGAGCGGCGAACGGGUGAGUAACACGUGAGCAACCUGCCCUAGGCUUUGGGAUAACCCCGGGAAACCGGGGCUAAUACCGAAUAUGACCUUUCCUCGCAUGGGGGAAGGUGGAAAGUUUUUCGGCCUGGGAUGGGCUCGCGGCCUAUCAGCUUGUUGGUGGGGUGAUGGCCUACCAAGGCGACGACGGGUAGCCGGCCUGAGAGGGCGACCGGCCACACUGGGACUGAGACACGGCCCAGACUCCUACGGGAGGCAGCAGUGGGGAAUAUUGCACAAUGGGCGGAAGCCUGAUGCAGCGACGCCGCGUGAGGGAUGACGGCCUUCGGGUUGUAAACCUCUUUCAGCAGGGACGAAGCGUAAGUGACGGUACCUGCAGAAGAAGCGCCGGCCAACUACGUGCCAGCAGCCGCGGUAAGACGUAGGGCGCGAGCGUUGUCCGGAUUUAUUGGGCGUAAAGAGCUCGUAGGCGGC